GAUGAACGCUGGCGGCGUGCCUAAUACAUGAAAGUCGAGCGAACGGACGAGAAGCUUGCUUCUCUGAUGUUAGCGGCGGACGGGUGAGUAACACGUGGAUAACCUACCUAUAAGACUGGGAUAACUUCGGGAAACCGGAGCUAAUACCGGAUAAUAUUUUGAACCGCAUGGUUCAAAAGUGAAAGACGGUCUUGCUGUCACUUAUAGAUGGAUCCGCGCUGCAUUAGCUAGUUGGUAAGGUAACGGCUUACCAAGGCAACGAUGCAUAGCCGACCUGAGAGGGUGAUCGGCCACACUGGAACUGAGACACGGUCCAGACUCCUACGGGAGGCAGCAGUAGGGAAUCUUCCGCAAUGGGCGAAAGCCUGACGGAGCAACGCCGCGUGAGUGAUGAAGGUCUUCGGAUCGUAAAACUCUGUUAUUAGGGAAGAACAUAUGUGUAAGUAACUGUGCACAUCUUGACGGUACCUAAUCAGAAAGCCACGGCUAACUACGUG
rnacentral:rRNA from 1 species